ensembl:lncRNA
GCAUAAUUGCUGAUGCUAGGGAAAGAACACUAUUGUAGAGUCUUAUGAGGACCUGGACUAUUUAUCGCUGUUUAUCACUAUUUAUUUGAAGGUCAAGCUCCAUAUUUGACCAUCCCACUCGAAUUAAGGCUGGUAUAUUAUUGUGUAGUUGGAGAACAGAUUCAAAUCUUGAGCUAGACUUGGUGUUUUGAGGGAGAUAUUAUGUUUUAAUCAUGUCUAUAGCCUUAGGGCCUACCUAGCCUAGUGGUCAGUAAAUAUUUUUUGAGUGAAUGAAUGAGUAAAUGUAAGUGCUAUUUUUGUAGGUUUAUUAUAUAGUUUCCAAAGAGGACUCCCUCAAAGGGGAAAAAAAAACAGUACAAAAAAUAAACUAACUUCUUGUCCUUGUGAGUCAUUUUCUUGUAUUCUCCCUGCUGAGGCUACCCUGGAGGGACUUCAGAGGCUUGGCAGAGGUGAGUCACAGAGACCUUGAAAUGGCACAACUGUCUGGAAAACUAAAGCUUAUUUUUGUCUUUUGUUGUUGUUUCUAGGGCUGCACCUGCAGCAUAUGGAGAUUCCCAGGCUAAGGGUCUAAUUGGAGCUGUAGCUGCCGGCCUAUGCCAGAGCCACAGCAAUGCGGGAUCCGAGCCACGUCUGCAACCUAUACCUCGCUCAUAGCAACCUAUACCUCACUUAUUGGAUCCUUAAUCCACUGAGCGAGGCCAGGGAUCAGACUCGCAACCUUAUGGUUCCUAGUCAGAUUCGUUAACUGCUGAGCCACGACAGGAACUCCAAAAGCUUAUUUUUGACUUGAGGUUAUAGUUACUUGAAACAUGAGUUGUUGGUGAAUUUCAGAAGCAGUAUAUGUCAAAAAAGAAAAAGAAGUAAUAUAUGUCAGUCAUUUGGGGGGCACCUUUUUUAUACUGGAACUGCGCCAGUUCCAGUAGACAUUUAUUUCUACAUAUUAUCUCCGUCUUACAAAUUAAGGACUAACGACCAGAGGUUCAGGAAGUUAAGUAACUUGUCUGAAUUUACAGUUAGCAAGUGUUAGGAUCAGAAUUCAUAGCAAGUGUUAGGAUCAGAAUUCAUCACAUCUAGUUUUUUAGAGCAGCACAGCCUGUACCAAAAUCGUUCUGGGCCUCUAUUGUUUGAGAGGGAUGGGGAUGUGUGCAGCAUUAAUUCUGGGAAGACAGCAUGGCUAUAGGGAAAAGACGCAGGAAGAGAAGGUCUGAUGUCCUAGUCUUUUUGUUUUCUUGCAGUGUGGAGAACAUUUUUUUUUAAAAGGUACAUAUAGAGAGUUCCUGUUGUGGCUCAGUGGGUUAAGAACCCGUGAGAAUGCGGGUUCAAUCCAUGGCCUCGAUUAGUGGGUUAAGGGUCUGGCAUUUAUGCAGUCUGUGGCAUACAUCACAGAUGCGGCUUGGAUCUGGCAUGGCUGUGUCUGUGGCAUAGGCAGCUGCAGCUCCGAUUCGAUCCCUAGCCUGGGAACUUCCAUAUGCCACAGGUGUGGCCUUUAAAAAAAAAAAAGAAAAGUACAUGUAAAGUUCAUGUUUCUAUGUGGAGUUCACUGGUGGCUUGGUGGGUUAAGGAUCUGGUGUCAUUGCUGUGGUUUGGAUUUGAUCCUUAGCCUGGGAACUUUGACUUGCCUCAGGUACAGCUAAAAAAAAGUUUAGGUUACUAUGAAAAAAAAUUACUCUUUGGGAGUUCCCGUUGUGGCUUAUCAGAUUCGCUAACCACUGAGCAAUGACGGGAACUCCAGUGAGAGUUUAUAAGUAGAAUUCGCUCAUUGAAUCAGAGAGUAAGGUCACUAAUUGUGUACAAUUACCAAUACUAAAGGCUGUAUUUAUUUUGUUUUUCUGUGUUGUGACUUAGUGGAAAGAGUACAGACAAUUGAACAGAGCACACACACAGUGCUGUCAGCAUUUGGGCAGCUCACUUCCAAUUUCUGAGCCUCAGAUUUUACACCUGUAAUAAGGAGGUAGAAGUUAAUAACUGUGGAAUUGUCACUAUGAGUUUUAGGAGAGAGACACAAUAUAUGAAUGCUCUUAGCAGUUCUCAUACUUGGGUUAUCAAAUAAAUGCUUCCUUUUUUCCCGUGUGACUUACAUUGGAAUUGUAUGGUCAGGUACUUCUUGGCUUGUGUCAGGAUCAUACCUCUUUUUUGAUUAUCAUAUUUUAUCCUUUCUACCCCUUCCCCCAAAACAAACUCACUUAGGCCUGUAAUUAUAAUCACAUACUAACUAGCUACGUGAUAGAUUUGUUUUCAGCCUUCACUGUUCGUCAGAAUCACCCAUGGAGCUUUUGAAAAAUUAGGUUUUAAGAGCUUCACCCCGUGUGUACUGAAUCACAUUAGUUUGGGGCUAUCCUUAGGCUUUUAAUCUGGAGAAUUGCAUUAGGCCUGUGGGAGUGAGACUUUCUCAUGCAUUUGUAACUCCUCAAGGUAAUUCUGAUGUACAGUUAGGGCUGAGAACUAUUGAUCUGCUUCUUCUAGCACUCAGAAAAAAAUCCCUAAAAGGCACGGACUCUAAAGCAUAAGUCAGAGGACAGAUAAGCCCCAGGUCAUACCCAACAAGUUAUAUGAUGUAAUAAUAAAUGAGAAUUGCUGGGUGCAUAGUAGGUUCUCAGACAUUGAAAGAAAAAUGUAUGGGCAGAAAGACUAUACAGAAUAAAAUUGAUUUAUGUUGCAGUGGUUGGGCCCUAGAUAUUCUGUUGUAGGGAAAAUGUCUAUGGUCAUUGUUAAUGAAAUUUUCCAGAUUAAAAACCCAAGGAUAGCCCCGAACUAAUGUUUGUUUGUUUAUUGAACAUACUGUAUAGAACUCUUUUUACUUGAAUGUGGCACUAACCACCACCAUCAUCAUUGCUAUGAUAAAUGUACAUAUUUUGAGAUCAGUCUUACCAACAGUGUAUAAGUCAUCAAUAAUCUUAAUUGUGGUGUUUUCCUCCAAUGCUUUCCAACAUCCACCAACUAACAUGAGUAUUCCCUAGAAUUUGGAUGCUUUAGCCUAAAGGUGACUGCCACUAAGUGAGCAGGUUGUACGACACUAAUGUAUAAGCCCCUUGUGUCAGGCACCCUGAGAACAGCAAGGCCACAGGUACGUGGGCUGAGUGAGCUGUUCUGGACACCACACACUGCAUGGGACAGUGGCACAGGUGUCAGGCAAGGUCCUGGGAGAAGAGAAACUCCUGCUUUGGUCAGAGGACAGGUGCCUUCACAAGUACUGAGGUAAGGAGUCACAAAAACUUGUCACAGUUGCUUUAAUCUUUGUUAGCUGCAAGGACUUGUCUCAAUCUUGUUGCAUGGUUCAUUGACAAGCAAAAGGCAGGGAGUUCCCAUCAUGGCACAGCAGAAACCAAUCCAAUUAGGCACCUGAGGUUGCGGGUCAAACAAAUGUUUAAAUCAUUCCAUUCCAAUAUUACAUAUAGUCACAACUGUAUAGAACAAUUUCUUCUGUUGGGUUAGGCCUGAGUAUAGCUCUCCUCCCUCUUUUAAGCCUCCUGAUGUUGUAGAGGGCUGCACCCUUUCAUGACUGUCUUGUCUUCACCAAGCCUGUUUUAUUGUGGGUCUGAGAUUUUUUAUUUUUUAGGUACACAGUGCAGCAUGUGGAAGUUUGGGCUUGGGGUCAAAUCUGGAGCUGCAGAUGCCUGUCUUUGCAAUGCCAGAUCUGAGCCACGUCUUGCGACCUACCCCACAGUUCAAGGCAAUGGUGUAUCCUUAACCUACUGAGGGAAGCCAGUGAUUGGACCAACAUUGUGGAUACUAGUUGGAUUCUUUACUGCUGAGCCACAACAGGAACUAUGGGGUCUGAGAAUUUUUAAGGCAUAAGCCAAAGGCCUGGACUAGCUGGAAUGCCUUGACCUGCAUGUUUCUGUUCUACCUCUUAAGUAGGGUGCCCUCUGUGAGCAGCUUCAUGGCUGGUCUGGGCUGGGCUUCCACUUGAUAGUCCCUCUAGCCUCAGCCUUACGAUGUGAUCUUCAGUUUAUUGGUUUCCACAACCAACAUAGAAGCUGUUCUGCUUUUCAGCUUUAAUUGGACCAAUUCCCUGCUUUUCUGCUGCUACCCUUUUCCAAGAAAGACUUCGAGUCCUUUGAUGUGUUGUUCCUGGGAUCUAGCCAUUAAACAGGGGUCAUUUCUUACUCAGUAACAAGUUUUAUGCAAUAAUCUUUCAUCUUUUGUCUUAGACUGCUGCAGGCUAAAAUUGCUAAAAUUGUAAUGCUGCCAGAAAAUCUACUCUUUGCUAGAUUUUCUUUCCUGGGUCUCAGAUCUGGCUUUCCUUCUCACUGAAAGUGAAAGUUAAGACUGAGCUCUGACUCCCAUCUACCAGGUAGAGAGGUUUGGUGGGAGGAAACUUCAAAGUACUCUAGUUCACGUCUUUGUUCUGUGGUUGGUGUGGCAACUAGGGGUCAGAAGAUACUGGCCUCAAAUCCCUCCUCUUUGCUAAAGGCCUCUAGACUUGCAACAAGGUCACUUUGAGCUUCUACUUCCUUGUCUGCUGUAAAUAUGGGAUACUAAAAUCUGUGUUGCCUCUGUCACCUAGUUUUUGAGAUUCAUUUGAUGUAAUGGAUGUUAAAAGAACUUUGACAAUGUGAGUGUACAUGGCUGUGAAUGAGGCGGGAGUAAUAUAAAUGCUUAUAGUAGUAAUUUACUUUAUCAUACCAGAGUUGAACAUUUCCUUUGCACUUUUGGGUUGAGACUGGGAAAGAAAACCACAAUUCUUGUAAUGUGGAAGAAUUGUUGUAAUUGCUGACUAAAAAUAAUUAUCAUUUGUUUUCGAUGUCUUGUACUAGAUUGAUAAUAAUGUUAGAAAUAAUCUCCUACAAAAUUGGAGGCAGUAUUCUACUUUUACAGGCGAAGAAACAAGCUCAGAGAGGUAAAAUAACUUUCCAAAAUUUCAUGGAUGGUUAAGGGCAUAGUACGAGUUAAGCCCAUGAAUUUCUAGUAUAUUACAGAGCUUCUCUGUUAUGCUGGCAUUGGUUGUAUUUACAUAAUUCCUCAUUUAAUUAUAAGUAAUGUAAUGCAUAUGAGGAAUUAAGACCUAAAAACUUAGUGAAUUAAAAGUACAUAGAAUGGGAGUUCCUGUCAUGGCUCAGUGGUAAUAAACCUGGCUAGUGUCCAUAAGGACAAGGUUUGAUCCCUGGCCUUGCUCCGUAGGUUACGGAGCCAGCGUUGCCAUGAGCUGUGGUGUAGGUUGCAGACGUAGCUCAGAUUCCGCAUUGCUCUGGCUGUGGCUUAGGCUGGCACCUGCAGCUCCAAUUGGACCCCUAGCCUGGGAACUUCCAUAUGCCGCAGGUGUGCCUCCCCCAAAAAUUCACAGAAUAGUAUAGAUAUUUAUUUUCUUACUGUGCUUAUCUCAUAGUCUUGGACAAGUCAUUUGGUCCCUUUGUCUUUCACAUUCUGUUUGGGAAUAGUUUAUCCUUCAGAGAAGACAUUCAUUUUUUAAAUGAUUUGUAUGAUAUUAUAACUUAAUAGAUUUAAGCAGGGGAGUUCCCACCAUGGCGCAGUGGGUUAAGAAUCUGAAUGCAUUCACCUAUUGUGUUAAAUAUAUGUACUAUACUAAAAUAAAAGUUAAUAACAGGGGGAAAGAAAAAGAAUCCAACUGCAGUGGCUUGAGUCACUGGAGAGGUGCAGGUGCGAUCUCUGGCCCAGUGCAUUGGGUUAAAGUAUCUGGAAUUACUGUUCCUGUGGCAUAGGUCACAGCUGCAGCUUGGAUUCAGUUCCUGGCCUAGGAACUUCCAUGUGCCAUAGGUGCAUCCAUUAAAAAAAAAAAAAAAAAAAAAAAAAAA